rnacentral:lncRNA from 1 species
CGGCCGCAGGUCCAGGCGCCAUGGCUGCGGAGCGGACCCGGCCGCUGCGACGCUCUGGCGGCCCGAGCGCGCCUAGUCGGUGUGAGCCCGGCGCGAGGUCCCGGGCCCCGGGGCGCUCGCUCAGGUCAGUGCCGCGCGGAACACGGCUCCGGGAGCAGGGGACCAAGGGAGUCACGAACGAGCUGAGCGACUCGGAGAUAAUUUUAGAGACAGGAAAAUUAGAGCUAAGAGUUCCUGCCUUCAGGUGCCUAGCAGCGAAACGAGUUAACAUUGACGCCCCGAGGCUACCUCUUUAAAGACGAUUCAUUGUAGACAGGUGGUUUAUAAAAUGCAGAACGUUGUAGUGUGUGUAGGAAGGCACCAUGCUUGUGGGUAUGCCUUGAAAACAGUUUUCUCUGUAUGGCCCCAGCAGUCCUGGAACUCUUUGUAGACCAAGCUGGUCUUGAACUCUACCUACCUCUGCCUCCCAGAU